CGGGUGUGUUUGAGGUGUUUUUUUUUUUUAACACCAUAGAAACACUUGGUUAUCCCUAAAUCCUGGACUGUUAGAUGUGCCUUGAGGAGAGGGUUGAGGAGCACUGCCUUACGUAAUCUCCUACCUUGCCGCAAUGGUGGGCCCUGCUCUGUAUGCAAGGGACAGAGUGACCCACCUUCAAAUGUCAUGCAAGCUGUGCAACAAUGCAUGGGCCGAGGGUCAUUUUGCAGUCAGCAGCUGAACAUUUGCACUUUUGAGACAUUAGGACCAAUUUAAAGAAUUACAAAGUAAGAUUGUCUCAUGCCUGUCCCCUUAACAGCCCAUUAAAAAUGCAGGAAUUAAUGAGAUCCUUAUGUGUGCAUUAGCUUUUUGUGUCUGUAUGAAAUAAAAAUGUUGUUUUUGUGACCCAAGGAAACAAUUGAUGUUGUAGAUGGC